rnacentral:rRNA from 1 species
AUUCCAGCUCCAAUAGCGUAUAUUAAAGUUGUUGCGAUUAAAAAGCUCGUAGUUGGAUCUCAGGCAUGGGCGCACGGUCCGCCUCGCGGCGGUCACUGUGUGAAUUGUUUUCCCAUCCUACGCUUCCCGGUUGUUCAGCCCAUGGUGCUCUUCAUUGAGCGUUUUGGGUGGCCGGAACGUUUACUUUGAAGAAAUUAGAGUGUUCAAAGCAGGCACAUCGCCUGAAUAAUGGUGCAUGGAAUGAUGGAAUAGGACCUCGGUUCUAUUUUGCUGGUUUUCGGAACACGAGGUAAUGAUUAAGAGGGACAGACGGGGGCAUCCGUAUUGCGGUGUUAGAGGUAAAAUUCUUGGAUCAUCGCAAGACGAACAACUGCGAAAGCAUUUGCCAAGCAUGUUUUCAUUA